GAGCCCCAGCGGGGAAGGAGGAAGAAGAAGAGGAGGAGGCGGCGGUGCGGGGCUGCGUCCCGGGCGGCGGUAAAUCCUCGGAGGCAGCGCUUCCCAACCCCGGCCGCCUCCCGCCAGGGGCUGCGGGGACGCAUCCAGAGGGCAGCGCCGCGAGCCCCCGGCCGAGAGCGGGGAGGGAAGGGGCGCCGAGCCCCCCUCCCCCGGUCCUGCUCCGGGCACGGACAAAUCCCUUUAAUGGAGACGCACUGCUGGGAGUGGGGGGAAGAAGCGGAUCACAGCGCGCUGGCCCUCAAGGAGAAAAAUCGGGGGGAUUAAUUAAUUUAAAAAAAUAAAAAAAAAUAACGGGGGCUGCGGGCGCAGCGCCCAGACCCACACCUGCCGCCGCGCUGCGCCGACUGAGCGGGCGAGCCCCGCCGCGCCAGGUUUAAAUACCCCCACCGAGGCCACGCCCCCUUAGCCACGCCCAUAAGCCGUUAAGCCACGCCCCUCGUGAGCCGUUGCUCCGCCCCCGCUCCUCCCAACGGGCGGUACCGGUUCCACCCCCUCGUGUGCCGCCCCGCCUAUGGGGGCGCCGGUUGCUAUUGGCUGGCUUGGGCUGUCAGUCAGGGGGGCGCCGCGGUUGAGGAUUGGUGGCUGCGCGUCCGAGAGCCCCGGCCCUUCUGCACUUCAUAAAUACUAGCUAGAAAAUCAUACCGCUGAAUUACACGACUUUAAGUGAGUUUGUGGUUCAGUAGCGGCCCAUUUCACAGUCUUACAGGGAGCUGCAUGAUACAGAACUGUAGAAAAACAAGAUGGAACAGACAAACCCCCCAUGUCAUCUAGUCCAGCAGUUUGCCCAAGGAAAGAGUCCAGGGGACACUAAUAUCAGCGGAACUGCCUUGACAGAAAAUUGGAUAUUCUACAAUGUGACAGUGAGGCCACCACUUGUGAUUCAGCAUAGAGUGAACACCAAGGAUUGUGCUUCUGUUCAGCACAAAGUAUAGCAGAUGUGACCUCCAGCUACUGUUGCAGAUGGAUGUGGAUCGCCUAUAGAUCUUGUGUCAUAUUGCCUCUCCCUGUACAAAUGAUGCCUUGUUAUCAAGUCUUGAGGAAUCUCAGGUAACACCAGAUGCUCAUUCCUAGGCAAUUGAAUUGCAUCUUUCCCAUUCUUGGAGAAUUUCUUCCUGGCUUAUGGAAAAACAAUGAAAAGACACUAUUUUCUUUGACCAAAAAGAAGGAAAAAAAAAUGGUUGGAAUGAUUGUGAUUUCUCAUUUCAGUUAAGAAAACAAAUACAUUGACUUCAGACUGUGUUUACUUUUUUUUUGUAAAUGACUGAGGUGUGUCCCAUGGCAACAAUCUGUUUCUUUGAUGGAAACCUCAAUGAAAUCUGUCAUUAGCUGGUUUGUUUUCACAUACCAAGUCUG
rnacentral:lncRNA from 1 species